rnacentral:rRNA from 1 species
GACGAACGCUGGCGGCGUGCCUAAUACAUGCAAGUAGAACGCAGUUGCGAACGGGUGAGUAACGCGUAGGUAACUGCCUCAUAGCGGGGGAUAACUAUUGGAAACGAUAGCUAAUACCGCCUACUGUGAGAUGGACCUGCGUUGUAUUAGCUAGUUGGUGGGGUAAAUGCUCACCAAGGCGACGAUACAUAGCCGGCCUGAGAGGGGGAACGGGCACAAUGUGACGUGGGCACGGGCCAGAAUGCCACGGGAGGGAGGAGUAGGGAAAUGUUGGCAAUGGGCGGAAAUCUGACCGAGGAACGGCGGGGGGGUUAAAGAAGUUUUCGGAUUGGAAAGCUUCGUUGUGAGAGAAGCGGUAACUAACCAGAAAGGGACGGCUAACUACGUGCCAGCAGCCGCGGUAAUAC